CUCGUUCUUGCUGGAGUAUGUGCUAUCCGCCCACAGCCCAUGCGUUCGUCUCUUCCGUCCUUUCGUCCUACCCCUAUAUUGCCCGAAGCCGCCGAAUCUCGCCGCCGGCGCUCCCCAGUCGCCACUGCGCCACUCCCUCCCUCCCUACGUUCCUCCAGACUGCUCCGUGCUGUCUCACGCGCCUCCCUGUAUUCUCAUCUCCAGGCGCCACCGUCUCGAUCGACCGUCGGCGCCGCCGUCUCGAUCCACCGCCGGCGCCACCUCUCGAUCGACAGCCGGCGCCACCUCUAGAUCUACCGUCAGCGCCACCGUCUCGAUCGACCGCCUGCGCCACCUCUCGAUCGACCGCCGGCGCCAUCGUGUUCUACUGCCUCGACCGACUGCCGAUCUCAAAGAUCAAGUUUUUCCCACGGCCAGACGGAACCUCCUCUUCCUGAUACCACGCACGGGGAGGGGAGGAUGCGCACCCGAGUGAUUGGUAAUUGCGGUACCCAUCUUCCCUUCUCAUCCUCUAAAUCCCUCUUCUACAAACAAACAAACAAAAAUCUGAGUUUCUGGUGACACUCUAUUUAUGUUUUAUUCUUCAGGAUCCCAAGGAUGGAGUGAUUUAUUGGUUCUCUAGGCUCCGACCUAUAUUUUCUUUCUCAAAGUUGUUUCUAACAACUCAGAUGAGAUAGCUUGUUGGCUAGUAGCUUGGGGUUUCCCCAUAGGUAAUUGAUAUAGGACAUGAUAAUUUCACAUUUGAUAUUGAUAGUACUUGAUACAUGCUCGCUUCAAUUUAUGCAUCUGAAUCUUCUUCUAUGUGUAGUUGCUUUCAAGAGGGUUUCCAUUUAUCACAGGAACCAACAAGUAAAGAGGAAUGCAUCUUGCCCAAAGCAGCGGCUAAUUCUUACUGGCGCAUGUAUGCAGGCAUAAGUACAAGCUAGAAACAAUGCAGCGAUCCAUAAAUGUUGAGUCUGAACCUGUGUUGUUAACUGACUUGCUGAGGUAUGAUCAAUGCAUAGGUUAAGUUGGGUAAUGCCGAGUUACAUGUGACUUUUCCUCACCUGCCCCUUAAUGACAAUUAGCUUAAAAGGAGCCUAGCGUAUGCACUGCUUUUUUAGAGAAAAGAAUAUCAGCUUCCCACUAGGAAUUUUACAAGCAUUUAGCCGCUCACAUGUUAUUUGUUUUAUACACAAGAGUGUUUGUCUAAGUUCCCCAGACAUGUAUCUGACCCUUUGCUGUCCCGGUAAUUAUCUCCAUAGAUUCCUGUUCAUAAAAAAUGCUUUCAACAUCUGCUAAGGCUUCAGCUAUUGAGCUUCUGAUGGGCUUCUGUUGCGGAAGACCUACUGCCCUAACUGCAUUUGUAUCUUCUGAAAUUUCUGUAAUAGUUGCUGCAUUUGCUAGGUUUAUAAUCUUCAUUCUGCCAAUCUUUUCACCUGCAAUGAAUAAUACCCCUAUUAAGUCAGGCGAAACGAUUUUUUUUCGAGAAAUCAGGUGAAACAAUUGGAAGAAUGAAGAUCAUAAAACUUGUGUCAACCGCAGCUAAUGAAUGAAAUAAUACCUGUUCUUGUGUCAUGCGAUGUCAAAUGGGAUAUUAGUACAUGGGAUGCUUCGUCGAUUGUAUAACAGUGUAACGUCCAUGAAGGGGGGCACCUGAUUCGCCUCAGCAGUUCUCCCUUAUCAUCAAACAUGGAAACCUGAUCUUUAUAUCUCACCAAUAAUAGUAGCUCAUCUUCAGUCUGUAAGAUGUGUAUCCCAUGUGGAUCACUGGUACAAACUGAUUUAGCCACAGAAGGCUCUUCUUCGAGCUGGAUCAUAAUUCAGGAGGAUCAAACACUUGUAAAUUGAGAUCAAGAUUUCAUAAUAAUAAAAUCUAGUUACUUGUAUGUAAUAAACCUACAUCUGUCAUUCUGACUCGCAUAUUUUCCUGUUGAAGCACCACUUUAGUUGAAAUAGAUUGUAUGAAUUUAACUUCACUGAAAUUCUUGAGAGGAACAUAACACAUUUCUGUCAGGUCUCCGGUUUGGAGAGAGUAUGUUUGGAUAGGAAAGAAGCCCUUCGGGUCAGGUCUGUGACUUGUCACUAAGUUGUCAGUAUGCAACAGAGAAAACAAAUGCUGCCUUUUGAAGCCUAGACUAAUACCUCAGAUUGUAGCACUCCAUACCCGGCAUUGUGAUCUGACGAAGUAAACUGCCGUUCCUUGUGCUAAAAAUUCUCAUAACGCUGAUGGGAAAAAUGUUUGUUUAUUUUAUUAGAUUAGACCACAAUAAAUAAAUAAAAUACAAACAAAUAUUAGAAAGUGUUCAAUUUGUGUGUACCUAGUUUUUUUAGAGAAGACCACCGCCUUUUCAGCACCGGCAGAUAAUUUCACAUGUUCCGGGUUCGUAAUUUCAGAUUCAGAAAACAUUCUUAUCUGUUGGGGCACGCGGACCGCCGUCCUUAUAGACCUAGAAAUGAAACCAGGUAGGAUCAAAAUGCACAAUUCUUUUGUUUCAAGUUAUGUAGCUGAUAGAAUGCUAAAUAUUUGUUAGAAUGCUAAAUAUUCUAUUAUAAGAAAGGAGGCAUAACAAUGUCAUAUAUAUGCACAGGAGCAGUUUUAUGUGGUAGCCUUCCAAUAUGCAACCAUUCUGUCCUCCAAUCCUGUUUUAUGUUAUGUUCUUUUUAAAGCACCAUAUAUAUCUGUUAAACUGCAGCCUCGUAACUAGGUUUGGUUCUGAAAUAUCAUAUUGAUAUCGAUUUCUACUGAAUAUCCCCUUCUCCACAGGUGACUUGGGCCGUCUUGCCAGCGAGGCCCCACCGUUCCUCUACUUGCUGCAGCUGCCCACGACCCUCCUCUCUACUUGCUCCACCUGUGAUUAGUUGAACCUUUUUGUCGUUGUCAUUAACAGCUGCUACUGUAACAAUGUUUCGACACCAUUGUUGUGCUGGUCCUUCUAUUCAACAGUAUAACAACAGUAUUGUUUUGAACUUGUAAGUUUUGUGAUGUUGUUUAGUUCUGCAGAAAUACAACAACACAGCAGUACUUAAGAGUAAUACUGAUGCUCACGAAUACAGUAGUAAAACUUACUCGAGUGGUACUUUGGCGCAUCUUAUAUCAAUUGAUCUCGAGAGUGUGAACUGUGAGACGCAUAUAACCCAAUUUGCUUUCUUGUUCCAGAGAAGAGACAAUAUCUUCUGAUCAACUUGGUUAUUCAGAGCGCA
rnacentral:lncRNA from 1 species